rnacentral:misc_RNA from 1 species
GGAAGGAUCAUUAAUGAAUAAACUUUGAACAGGUUGUUGCUGGCACUCUUCUUGUGGGGAGGGCAUGUGCACGCUUGUCAUUUUUAUUUCUCCACUGUGCAUAUAUUGUAGGUCUGAAGUUUUUGAUUGAUAUUGUUUGAUUGAGGAAUUGCUGUGCCCUUGUUUCUAAAGGUCAGCUUUGCCUUGCAUCUUCAGAUCUAUGUUACCAAUUUUCAUAAUCUCAAAUUGUGUUUAGAAUGUUGAUUUGUGGAUAAUAAUAUACAACUUUCAGCAAUGGAUCUCUUGGCUCUCGCAUCGAUGAAGAACGCAGCGAAAUGCGAUAAGUAAUGUGAAUUGCAGAAUUCAGUGAAUCAUCGAAUCUUUGAACGCAUCUUGCGCUCCUUGGUAUUCCGAGGAGCAUGCCUGUUUGAGUGUCAUUAAAUUCUCAACUGCAUCAAAUUAUUUUGAUGUGGAUUGGAUAUGGAGGUUUUCUUUUUGCAGGCUUUUUUUUUUGAAGUCGGCUCCUCUGAAAUAUAUUAGUGGUAUCUGAGCAGAGACUACUGCAGGCAUGAUUAAUUAUCUAUGCCUCUUGUAAUACUGCAUAAACUGCUUCUAAAUGGCACACUGACCAAUUUGACCUCAAAUCAGGUAGGACUACCCGCUGAACUUAAGCAUAUCAAUAAGCGGAGGAAAAGAAACUAACAAGGAUUCCCCUAGUAACUGCGAGUGAAGCGGGAUAAGCUCAAAUUUGAAAUCUGGUGGUUUUUUUGACUGUCCGAGUUGUAAUCUAGAGAAGUGUUACCUGUGCUGGACCAUGUACAAGUCUCCUGGAAUGGAGCAUCAUAGAGGGUGAGAAUCCCGUCUUUGACAUGGACUACCAGUAUAUUAUGGUGUGCUCUCAAAGAGUCGAGUUGUUUGGGAAUGCAGCUCAAAAUGGGUGGUAAAUGCCAUCUAAAGCUAAAUAUUGGCGAGAGACCGAUAGCGAACAAGUACCGUGAGGGAAAGAUGAAAAGAACUUUGGAAAGAGAGUUAAACAGUACGUGAAAUUGCUGAAAGGGAAACGCUUGAAGUCAGUCACGUUGACUAGAAAUCAGCCUUGCUUUUGCUUGGUGCACUUUCUGGUCUUUACGGGUCAGUAUCAAUUUUGACCAUUGGAUAAAGUCUUUGGAAAUGUAGCAUCUUUGGAUGUGUUAUAGUCCAUUGUCGCAUACAGUGGUUGGGAUUGAGGAACUCAGCAUGCCACACGGCCAGGUUUCGACCAUGUUCAUGCUUAGGAUACUGGCAUAAUGGCUUUAAUCGACCCGUCUUGAAACACGGACCAAGGAGUCUAACAUGCCUGCAAGUGUUUGGGUGGAAAACCCAUGCGCAUAAUGAAAGUAAAAGUUGAGAUCUCUCUCUCAAGGGGAGAGCAUUGACGCCCGGACCAGACCUUUUGUGACGGAUCCGCGGUAGAGCAUGUAUGUUGGGACCCGAAAGAUGGUGAACUAUGCCUGAAUAGGGUGAAGCCAGAGGAAACUCUGGUGGAGGCUCGUAGCGAUUCUGACGUGCAAAUCGAUCGUCAAAUUUGGGUAUAGGGGCGAAAGACUAAUCGAACCAUCUAGUAGCUGGUUCCUGC